GAUAAACGCUGGCGGCGUGCCGAAUACAUGCAAGUCGAACGAAGAGAGCUAGCUUGCUAGAGCUCUUAGUGGCGAACGGGUGAGUAAUACAUAAGCAACCUACCUGCAGGGACCGGGAUAACGCUUGGAAACGAGUGCUAAAAACCGGAUAGGUAAUAACGGGGCAUCCCGAUAUUAUUAAAGGAGAGAAACACAAGCAGAUGGGCUUAUGGUGCAUUAGUUAGUUGGUGAGGUAACGGCCCACCAAGACGAUGAUGCAUAGCCGGCCUGAGAGGGUGAACGGCCACAUUGGGACUGAGACACGGCCCAGACUCCUACGGGAGGCAGCAGUAGGGAAUUUUCGGCAAUGGGGGAAACCCUGACCGAGCAACGCCGCGUGAGUGAUGAAAGUCUUCGGAUUGUAAAGCUCUGUUGUAAGGGAAGAACGGCUUGAGGGGAACUCAAGAGUGACGGUACCUUACCAGAAAGCCACGGCUAACUACGUG
rnacentral:rRNA from 1 species